GAGUCAUUUGGUGUCUUGGACGUUGGUCUUGGCGACGCUGGAAUAGGCAGUUGUCACACUUUGCAGCUUGGCUAAUGGCUUCGUUGAGCGUUUGAGGAUCAGGAAGAGAUAACAGCAAGUCCUUCACAUCAUCCUUCAAGCCCCAAUAAAACUGACUCACCAACGCCUCUUCACCCCAAUUAAUGUCACUUGCCAAUUUUCUGAAAUCCGAGG
rnacentral:lncRNA from 1 species